GAAUAAGGACCGGCUAACUACGUGCCAGCNGCCGCGGUAAUACGUAGGGUCCAAGCGUUAUCCGGAAUUAUUGGGUUUAAAGGGUCCGUAGCGGGCCUAUAAGUCAGAGGUGAAAUCUUACAGCUUAACUGUKAAAUUGCCUUUGAUACUGUAGGUCUUGAGUGUGAAUGAAGUGGGCGGAAUGAGAUGUGUAGCGGUGAAAUGCUUAGAUAUGUCUCAGAACACCGAUUGCNAAGGCAGCUCACUAAGCCACAACUGACGCUGAGGGACGAAAGCGUGGGUAGCGAACAGGAUUAGAUACCCUGGUAGUCCACGCCGUAAACGAUGAUUACUGGACAUUUGCGAUAUAUUGUAAGUGUCUGAGGGAAACCAUUAAGUAAUCCACCUGGGGAGUACGGUCGCAAGAUUGA
rnacentral:rRNA from 1 species